UACGUAGGGUGCAAGCGUUGUCCGGAAUUAUUGGGCGUAAAGAGCUCGUAGGCGGCUUGUCGCGUCGGCUGUGAAAACCUGGGGCUCAACCCCGGGCCUGCAUUCGAUACGGGCAGGCUCGAGUUCGGUAGGGGAGACUGGAAUUCCUGGUGUAGCGGUGGAAUGCGCAGAUAUCAGGAGGAACACCGAUGGCGAAGGCAGAUCUCUGGGCCUUACCUGACGCUGAGGAGCGAAAGCGUGGGGAGCAAACAGG
rnacentral:rRNA from 1 species